GAUGAACGCUGGCGGCGUGCCUAAUACAUGCAAGUCGAGCGAACAGACGAGGAGCUUGCUCCUCUGACGUUAGCGGCGGACGGGUGAGUAACACGUGGAUAACCUACCUAUAAGACUGGGAUAACUUCGGGAAACCGGAGCUAAUACCGGAUAAUAUAUUGAACCGCAUGGUUCAAUAGUGAAAGACGGUUUUGCUGUCACUUAUAGAUGGAUCCGCGCCGCAUUAGCUAGUUGGUGAGGUAACGGCUUACCAAGGCAACGAUGCGUAGCCGACCUGAGAGGGUGAUCGGCCACACUGGAACUGAGACACGGUCCAGACUCCUACGGGAGGCAGCAGUAGGGAAUCUUCCGCAAUGGGCGAAAGCUUGACGGAGCAACGCCGCGUGAGUGAUGAAGGUCUUCGGAUCGUAAAACUCUGUUAUUAGGGAAGAACAAAUGUGUAAGUAACUAUGCACGUCUUGACGGUACCUAAUCAGAAAGCCACGGCUAACUACGUG
rnacentral:rRNA from 1 species